rnacentral:rRNA from 1 species
UACGUAUGGAGCAAGCGUUAUCCGGAUUUACUGGGUGUAAAGGGAGCGUAGACGGCGAGGCAAGUCUGAUGUGAAAGGUGUGGGCUCAACUCACAAACUGCAUUGGAAACUGGUUUGCUAGAGUGUCGGAGAGGUAAGUGGAAUUCCUAGUGUAGCGGUGAAAUGCGUAGAUAUUAGGAGGAACACCAGCGGCGAAGGCGGCUUACUGGACGAUAACUGACGUUGAGGCUCGAAAGCGUGGGGAG